AAGCACGAUUUAUUGUUGUCUUUUGCAAUAGAUUGAGGUUAAAUUUGACGUUUAAAAAAAAAUAAAAUAUUCAACUCGUGACCGAACAACACUGAUAAUUAACUCAUGCGCUACGCGCAUUCGUGAAUUAAUGUGUUGUUCGGUCACUCGUUGAAUAAUUUUCUCUAUUUGAAUUCUUCGAUUAGUUAUUCUAUAAAUAUUAUUAAUUUAUUAAAUAAUAAUGGAAGAGAAUAUGAAUAUAACUAACAUCCUACGCAGAU
rnacentral:lncRNA from 1 species